UUCAACGGCCGCGGUAUCCUAACCGUGCAAAGGUAGCAUAAUCACUUGCCCAUUAAUUGUGGGCUAGAAUGAAAGGACCAACGAAAUAAAGACUGUCUCCAUAAGCNCAUCUAAAAAUUAAUCUCUAACUGAAGACUGUUAGAUCCCGUCGAAGGACAAGAAGACCCUAUAGAGCUUUAUUUUAAUAAAAAAUAUAAAUUUUUAAUAAANNUUCGGUUGGGGCGACCAGGGAAGNUUACUAAUCAUCCCUAAAUAAAANGAUUAAUUAAUCUAAAUUCUNNGACCCUUAUNUCAAGAUCAAUAGAUCAAGCUACCUUAGGGAUAACAGGCUAAUCUCACUAAAGAGUCCUUAUCAAUAGUGGGGGUUGGCACCUCGAUGUUGGCUUAGGGAAUCUAUGUGGCGCAAAAGUCACAUAAAGAUGGUUUGUUCAA
rnacentral:rRNA from 1 species